rnacentral:rRNA from 1 species
GAUCCCUCAAAGAUGAUGAGGUUAAUAGGUUCGAGGUGGAAGCGUGGUGACACGUGGAGCUGACGAAUACUAAUCGAUCGAAGACUUAAUCAAA